GGAGCCGGACAGGCUGUCGCUGCGAUCAUUGAUCGGAGAGGAAAGUCCGGGCUCCACAGGGCAGGACGCUGGGUAACGCCCAGGGGGAGCGAUCCCCGUCAAGUGCAACAGAAAGCAGACCGCCUCCGGGGAAACCCGGCGGCAAGGGUGAAACGGUGGGGUAAGAGCCCACCGGCUGUCGUGGCGACACGGCAGGCCAGGUGAACUCCGUUCGGAGCAAGACCAAAUAGGGUAGCGUACGAGGCCGGCCCGGCCCAGGCUACCGGGUAGGUUGCUUGAGGCGGCUGGUAACAGCCGUCCUAGAGGAAUGACAGCCGCCCCCUCGGGGGCACAGAACCCGGCUUAUCGGCCGACUCCAAAC
rnacentral:RNase_P_RNA from 1 species